rnacentral:tRNA from 1 species
GGGGAUUUAAGUUCAGCGGUAGAGCGCUUGCCUAGCAAGCACAAGGCCCUGGGUUCAAUCCCCAGCUCCG